rnacentral:lncRNA from 1 species
AUGGGGAUGGCUUUGAGAUGCGGAUGCUGUAGAUGUCAACUCCUUAGGCCUUUGUCACACACACAGAAGCUCAUUUCUGACUUCCUACCUGACUACCCCAGGGCAGCACGCGGUCACACCACGCGGGAACCUGGGGAGAAGUGCACAUCCCGCGGGUGGACGGAGCUGUCGCAGGGCAGCACGCGGUCACACCACGCGGGAACCUGGGGAGAAGUGCACACCGCGGCGGGUGGACGGAGCUGCCCCAGAGCAGCACGCGGUCACACCACGCGGGAACCUGGGGAGAAGCCCCGCAUACCCCGGCACACCCCGCGUGGACGGAGCUGCCGCAGGGCAGCACGCGGUCACACCACGCGGGAACCUGGGGAGAAGUGCACACCCCGCGGGUGGACGGAGCUGCCCCAGGGCAGCACGCGGUCACACCGCGCGGCGAGCCCAGGACGCGGCGGGCUCCCGCGGGCAUUCACUGCCGGUCCUGACUGCUCAUCCGCCCGGCAGGCCAGGGCCUGUGGCCGCUCUGCUCGCGGCUGCGCGCCCUCCACACGCGUGCACGCGAGCCACUCGGGCCGAAAGCCCCGGGCGCACGGGCUGCCUGUUCUCUCUGCCCGUCCUACACCCCCAAACGAGACGGAGCAGCCUCGCUCAGGGGAUGCCACGGGACUGCGGUUCAGGGUUGGGAGGAGGCCCCGUUUCCUUGCUCACUGCUGGCGGCCCUCAGCUCCUCCCUGAUGGUCUCGGCAUUGCCCGCCCCGUCCUCCAGGUCAGCACUGCAGAGAACCACCUAGAAAUUCCUUCAGAGAGAAACGUGACAUAGCCUUGUCACUGAUAGUCCCCUUGAAGCACCUGAAACCAAGCAGCCCCGUUAAAUGGAAGCCCAUGCCAUGACACAUGGUACUCCAGCGACGUCCUAGUGUUGUUUCUGAAAUAACUAUUUGCUUUUAUACAGCAUUCUGUAAUUUACAAAGCCCUUUUAUCAACAUUAUUUAAUUCCGUUCUCUUUAUAGUAGAAGAAGAUACACACAAGUUUUAUCAUCUGUUUUUGAGAGGUGAGGAAAACUGACAGCCUCUGGAACAUGAAGCGUCUCGUGUGACUCUUCCAGGCCACCUUAACUGACGAGACUGUGCUUCGGAGCCGUUUCUUCCAACUCCUGUCCUGUUUCUCUUUAUCGUGAAGUCUUUCAUUCUUCUCAUCCUCUGAACCGUUUAUCUAUUAAUAGUUUCCACAAUUUUAUAAGGCACAAAAUUGGGAUAACAGAGCUGAGUGGUUUGACAUCAUGAAAUUACAUCACAAGGAGCUAAUAUUAGAAUUUCUAUUUCCUGCAUUGCUGUUUCUUAACUAAUCCAUUAAACAUUCAUUGGUGAUUCAGAUACAGACAUUUCUUACCAUUGUUUCUUCAAGCAGUAACUGUAUAAAUACCGUGAGCUAAAAACUAUGGGGAAAAUAUCCAUCACAUAAAUUCCUUUGAGAAUAUUUAUAAUUUAAUUUCUUAUCUCUUUUAUUCUAUUUUUUCAAAUUUCCAUUGUAUAGGCAAUUUACAUACUUUUUAAAACCUUUUGCAAAACAAAGAUUAAAAAUGACAAAAUUGUUAAAGCAGAUGUGGUUAUUACAAAAAAAGUUUAAAGAAAAACUAAAUACACAAAUAAUGUUAGAAUAUCAGAUGUUAGAAUGCUUGAGUGCAGUCACUGUAGCCGUCACACAUGAAAAAUGUUAGGUUUUACGUCUUGGAGACAUGUGAUACACAAAGCCCCUAUUCAUUGAAAAUGCCACUAUAUCU